ensembl:lncRNA PM20D1-AS1 PM20D1 antisense RNA 1
GCAGUAGGAGGAGUGACGGGAACCGGGAGCCGGCUCCAUGCGCCUGGAGCGCGCGGGUCCCAGCGCCCAUCGGCCCGGGGUCCGAGGGGCCCGCUGCCCGGGCUCGCUGCGUGGUGCUACCGCCCCCGGGCCCGCUGCGCCGCGUCGGAGCCCCAGCAGACUUUGAGAGGCGUGUGCGACAGUGCGCGUCCUCUCCUGCCUCUGGAUGUUUCCUUGGAGCCUCUGGCCUUCGGGAAGACCGGUGCCAUCCAGAUUCCAACAGUGACUUUUAGCUCUGAGAAGUCCAAUACUACAGCCCUGGCUGAGUUCGGAAAAUACAUUCAUAAAGCCUGAUGGCCUGGUGUUGGGCCUGAUCACCCCAAAAUUUCAGGCACCCAACGUGGGGCUAUGAAGACCAUGGUAAAGAAAUGCUAGAGUAUAUGGAAAUGAAGGACAUAUCAUCAAAGGACACCCGAGGAUGGCUGAAAGAAGCUUGGUGGUGCCACUGGGUUAGAGUCUCCCCGACCAAGCUGGUCUCAGCAAGUGGUCUCCAUCAUGGGGGCUCGAAUCCAGGUUGAAGGGUCACCAGAGUGAUGGUUGGAGAACAUGGAACUAGCUGGAGGACACCUGAGUACUCUUAAAGCAAACCCCGUGUUAAUUGAAAAUGCUCAGUUACGAUUUCAUACAGAUGAACAACUGAAGACAAAAACAACAAAGGGGGAGAAAGAGGGAUUAUGGGACAGCCCAUAUACAAUUGAAUCUAGCAUUAUUAACUUUAAAUUUUUUGAGUCUGCCUAAAGGCCAGAUGUUAUCAGCAGCUGAACAGCAUUUACAGAAACCGGCUGCAAAGACAGAAGCAGAACAACUGGUUUGGUGGAGAGAUCCGAUAACAAAAAGUUGGGAAAUAGGUAAAAUAAUAACUUGGGGUAGAGGUUAUGUUUGUGUUUCUCCAGGCCAAAAUCAAUAACCAAUUUGGAUACCAUCAAGACACCUGAAACCUUAUCAUGAGCCAGAUGCUGAGGAAGAGAUUCCAGGAGGAUCCUGAGGACCCCCUGGUUGCAGCCACGUCGAGGCUGACACUGAGGAGGACCCCAACUGUCAUGAGCAACACCCGUCGAACACAGCCAUCCACCUGGGGACAAAUCAAGAAGCUGUCACAGAUGAUGGAAGAAAACCUGAGGAAAGCGGGACAACCAAUCACAAUGAGUAAUUUGGUGAUCUAUCACAGUGAUGAUCACCAUUGCCAUGAGUAUUCCUUCAACAAGGGCUGACACAGAGAACAAUUAUACUUAUUGGGCAUAUUUAUCAAUCUUGUCUGGCAAUAAUGCCUAGAUGAUUUCACUCUAUGGCACAGUUACACAUGCUUUCUGAUCUCAGUAUUUACCAUAAUAAAUCUGCUCCUAUAAUUGAGGCAUACCACCCUCAAAAACCUAUUUGUAAACAAAAUAGAACCUGGCCAGAAAUAAUGAACAACUUGUUUAGUAAGAUUGCAUUGCAGAACAGGCAGAGAUGCUACGCAAUGAUUCCUAUGGGAUCAUUGAUUGGUCCCCUAAGGGGAUGUUUAGCUUAAAUUGCACCUCUCAGUCUGCAUGCCAUGGCCACACUAGUUCAGAUGGUCUGAACAAAGUGGUCAGAUGGCAGAAAUGAUAAGAAGUAUGGCAAAAGUUCCUAUUGUCUGGAACCAUGGCAGUAUAGUGUCACCUCAACCUCAAAUGAUAUGGCUCAUUGUAGGAGCUAAACAUAAGGAUUUGUGGAAACUAUUAAUAGCUCUUAAUAAGAUCAAAAUUUGGGAAAGAAUAAAAAAAGCAUCUAGAAAGACACUCUACAAACUUGUCUUUGGAUAUUACAAAAUUAAAAGAACAAAUAUUUAAAGCAUCCCAGGUACACCUGACCUUAAUGACAGAAACUGGAGUGCUUGAAGGAGCUGCAGACAGAUUAGCAGCUAGUAACCCAUUAAAAUGGAUAAAAACACUUGGAAGCUCUGUGAUUUCAAUGAUGAUUGUGCUUUUAAUCGGUAUUGUUUGUCUUUGUAUAGUGUGCAGAUGUGGAUCCUGACUCCUGUGAGAAGUAGCUCACAGUGUCAAAGCUGCCUUUGCUUUUAUCGAUUUGCAAAUCAAAUAAGGGGGACAUAUUGGGAACAGCACCCCCCCCCCCAAAAUCUGGCCAUAAACUGGUCCCAAAACUGGCCAUAAACAAAAUCUCUGCAGCACUGACAUGUUCAUGAUGGUCUUAAUGCCCACGCUGGAAGGUUGUGGGUUUACCAGAAUGAGAGCAAGGAACACCUGGCCCACCCAGGGUGGAAAACCACUUAAAGGCAUUCUUAAACCACAAACAAUAGCAUGAGUGAUCUGUGCCUUAAGGCUGUGCUACUGCUGCAGAUAACUAGCCCAACCCAUCCCUUUAUUUCAGCCCAUCCCUUCGUUUCCCAUAAGGGAUACUUUUAAUUAAUCUAAUAUGUAUAGAAAGAAUGCUAAUGACUGGCUUGCUGUUAAUAAAUAACGUGGGUAAAUCUCUGUUGGAGGCUCUCAGCUCUGAAGGCUGUGAGACCCCGGAUUUCCCACUUCAC